rnacentral:tRNA from 1 species
GGUGCCAUAGCUCAGUUGGUAGAGCAACGGACUGAAAAUCCGUGUGUCGCUGGUUCAAAUCCAGCUGGCACCA